GACGGAGGAGAGGAGGAACAGCAUUACGGGCAAAGGGAACAGCCAUGGAAAAAGCUUUGUCCUCCUCCUGGGGACCUGGACAAGUCUGCGAUGUCUUAUUCUGAUUGGGGUUCUGAGAACCCAGGAGGAAAAACUGAGUGGGAUGGGAUAGAACUGGCUUAUGGGUUCAGAGUUUGACACCAAGGAACCCCCAAAGGCAGCAUUCAGGGAGAAAGGCAGAAUUAAACCUAGUGGAAAAAAUACCCACAUAGUGUCCUUUAGGCAAAACCCAGCGGUGGAGAAGCAGGAGCUGGAGGCAGCCCAGGGUUGAGGCCUGAGUAGGAGGCAGAGGCUGGAGAGAAACCUUUGCACAGAGCUCUAGGGGAUUUUUAGAGGCAGCCUGAUGGCGCAUCUGGGGUGGGGGAGAGCAGUGUUAAAGGCAUAGACCGUGUUCAGGGCGUCGUGGAAACAAAAGGUCCUUGGCAGGAAAUUAAGGUCAGUCGUUGCUACCACAAUGCCCAGCAACUGACAAGAAUGGUAGAAAAGGGAAAGUCAGGGGCUCGAUGAUGAGGAGCUUUGCAAAAUGUGCUCGGAGGACUGAACCAGCCUCCCAGCUGGGCCCUCCCCCCAGGCUGGCAUUAGCACCCCUGGCAGUUACCAGUGUGUCCUGAGAUGGUGCACAAGCAACGCUUUAAAGGUUUUCAGAAGCUUUAUGUUUAUUGUAUACAAAUCAGAAAAAAAUCCACAAUUAUUCAGAUACAACAACUGCUUACGACGAGGCCUAACAUAGUACCAGGAUGAGCUGGUCUGUAGAAAAAUACUAAUACUAAUACUAAUACAUACAAAAAACUAAUACUAAUACACACAAAAAAACACAAACGUUGAGAAAGAAGGUGGUCUAUAAAUGAUUGAAGUUUGAAAAUGUUGGCGAUAGGCAACGAGGAACCCCUGAUGAGUUCUAGGCACAGGGCUAUGUUCUAGAACGCCAUUCUUGGGGCAGGAGGAGGUGUGGAGCGGGGACUUGGAGGAACUACUCCUCCGGAUUCGCUAAUUCCUGGAGAUACUAAACACUUUGCCUGCAAGCACAGCUCUCUUAUGCAAACCGACCAAUCAUGAGUCCAUACUGUCAACCACCUCCUUUUAUCAGAUCUCAGCUCAAUUGUAAUUGCCUCAGAGAAGACUUCAUAAAGACACCAAAAAAAGUUUACUGACUCCUGCUCUAAAGGAUUUUGUAAAGGAUUCUCAAAGAGGACAACACACAGCCAGAUGUUAUUCAACAAUGAAGCCCAGAAGGAGGGACUAGAAUCUGAUAGAGCCCUAGAUAAAAAAUAAAUCACUCAGCCUGUUGGUGCUCUCCUUGUCUGGACUUCCAAAUUAGAGUGAGAAAGAAACAGUGGAGGAGAGACUGAAAAAAAAAAAAGAACAUAAUGACAUAGUCUCUUACAUUCUCAUAAUGCUCAAAUUCCAGGGAUCCUUCAGAUUUUGAU